rnacentral:misc_RNA from 1 species
UUGAUCCUGAGAUGCAAAUUUCUUGAUAAAAUUAUUCGGUAUGAUAGAUAUUAAGUAUCGUGAUAUUCUGUUUUGAUAACUUCUAUCCUUUGCUGCAACUAAUGCAUUUUACAUAAAGGUUAGUAAUAGUAAUAGUUUUUCAAUUCAUUUUGAAUUAAGGUUGAAUCUCUAACAUUGUGAUCUACACCAAAUUCCAAAUCAGUGGCAUAUGCUUGGUAAAACUUAAAUCAUGCAGAAUAAUGCAGGGAAAUUUCCUUUUGGAGAAGAUCAGGAAUCAAAAUUUAUAUUUAUUUGCACUGAAUUGGAUUUCAAUGAAAUUCAGAAUCAUGUAUCUGGGGUUGGAAGCAGCUAAUCAUCAUUUCUUUAUAUUAGAUGUCAUGAGAAACUUUCCUUUAAACAAGUUGAAAUUGGUGCAUGCAUGGCCCUGUGUGUGUGUGUGUGUGCGCGC